rnacentral:rRNA from 1 species
UACGUAGGGUGCGAGCGUUAAUCGGAAUUACUGGGCGUAAAGCGUGCGCAGGCGGUUCUCCAAGUCCGUUGUGAAAGCCCCGGGCUCAACCUGGGAAUGGCAGUGGAAACUAGGGGACUGGAAUCUGGCAGAGGGGGGUGGAAUUCCUGGUGUAGCGGUGAAAUGCGCAGAUAUCAGGAAGAACACCCGUGGCGAAGGCGGGUCUCUGGGCCGUAACUGACGCUGAGGAGCGAAAGCAUGGGGAGCGAACAGG